rnacentral:rRNA from 1 species
AUUGAACGCUGGCGGCAGGCCUAACACAUGCAAGUCGAGCGAGCGGCGGGCGGGUGAGUAAUGUAUGGGGACUGCCCGCUAGAGGGGGAUCACUACUGGAAACGGUAGCUAAUACCGCAUCCUAUCGGAUAACCCAUAUGGGAUUAUGUAAUAGGUGAGGUAAUGGCUCACCUAGGCGACGAUCCCUAGCUGGUCUGAGAGGAUGAUCAGCACAACUGGGACGGAGACAGGGCCCAGACUCCUACGGAGCCAGCAGUGGGGAAUAUUGCACACUGGGGGCAGGCCUGAUGCAGCCAUGCCGCGUGGAUGAAGAAGGCCCUAGGGUUGUAAAGUACUUUCAGUCGGGAGGCGUUACCGACAGAAGAAGCACCGGCUAACUCCGUGCCAGCAGCCGCGGUAAUAC